AGAGUUUGAUUAUGGCUCAGGACGAACGCUUGGCGGCAUGCCUAAUACAUGCAAGUCGAACGAGCUUCCGUUGAAUGACGUGCUUGCACUGAUUUCAACAAUGAAGCGAGUGGCGAACUGGUGAGUAACACGUGGGGAAUCUGCCCAGAAGCAGGGGAUAACACUUGGAAACAGGUGCUAAUACCGUAUAACAACAAAAUCCGCAUGGAUUUUGUUUGAAAGGUGGCUUCGGCUAUCACUUCUGGAUGAUCCCGCGGCGUAUUAGUUAGUUGGUGAGGUAAAGGCCCACCAAGACGAUGAUACGUAGCCGACCUGAGAGGGUAAUCGGCCACAUUGGGACUGAGACACGGCCCAAACUCCUACGGGAGGCAGCAGUAGGGAAUCUUCCACAAUGGACGAAAGUCUGAUGGAGCAAUGCCGCGUGAGUGAAGAAGGGUUUCGGCUCGUAAAACUCUGUUGUUAAAGAAGAACACCUUUGAGAGUAACUGUUCAAGGGUUGACGGUAUUUAACCAGAAAGCCACGGCUAACUACGUGCCAGCAGCCGCGGUAAUACGUAGGUGGCAAGCGUUGUCCGGAUUUAUUGGGCGUAAAGCGAGCGCAGGCGGUUUUUUAAGUCUGAUGUGAAAGCCUUCGGCUUAACCGGAGAAGUGCAUCGGAAACUGGGAGACUUGAGUGCAGAAGAGGACAGUGGAACUCCAUGUGUAGCGGUGGAAUGCGUAGAUAUAUGGAAGAACACCAGUGGCGAAGGCGGCUGUCUAGUCUGUAACUGACGCUGAGGCUCGAAAGCAUGGGUAGCGAACAGGAUUAGAUACUCUGGUAGUCCAUGCCGUAAACGAUGAGUGCUAAGUGUUGGAGGGUUUCCGCCCUUCAGUGCUGCAGCUAACGCAUUAAGCACUCCGCCUUGGGGAGUACGACCGCAAGGUUGAAACUCAAAUGAAUUGGCGGAAGGGCGAUUCGCG
rnacentral:rRNA from 1 species